rnacentral:rRNA from 1 species
CUACGGGCCGCUCCAGUGGGGAAUAUUGGGCAAUGGGCGCAAGCCUGACCCAGCAACGCCGCGUGAGGGAAGAAUGUCUUCGGAUUGUAAACCUCUGUCCUUGGGGACGAAAAAAAUGACGGUACCCAAGGAGGAAGCUCCGGCUAACUACGUGCCAGCAGCCGCGGUAAUACGUAGGGAGCAAGCGUUGUCCGGAAUUAUUGGGCGUAAAGGGUGCGUAGGCGGCGCUGUAAGUCAGAUGUGAAAUCCCCGGGCUUAACUCGGGAGUUGCAGUUGAAACUACAGUGCUUGAGUAAAGAAGGGGUAAGGGGAAUUCCUAGUGUAGCGGUGGAAUGCGUAGAUAUUAGGAGGAACACCAGUGGCGAAGGCGACUUACUGGUCUUUUACUGACGCUGAGGCACGAAAGCGUGGGGAGCAAACAGGAUUAGAUACCCUGGUAGUC